UACGUAGGGUGCAAGCGUUAAUCGGAAUUACUGGGCGUAAAGGGCUCGUAGGCGGCCAACUAAGUCAGACGUGAAAUCCCCAGGCUCAACCUGGGAACUGCGUCUGAUACUGGAUGGCUUGAAUCCGGGAGAGGGAUGCAGAAUUCCAGGUGUAGCGGUGAAAUGCGUAGAUAUCUGGAGGAAUACCGGUGGCGAAGGCGGCAUCCUGGACCGGCAUUGACGCUGAGGAGCGAAAGCCAGGGGAGCAAACAGG
rnacentral:rRNA from 1 species